rnacentral:rRNA from 1 species
GACGAACGCUGGCGGCGUGCUUAACACAUGCAAGUCGAACGGAAAGGCCCUGCUUUUGUGGGGUGCUCGAGUGGCGAACGGGUGAGUAACACGUGAGUAACCUGCCCUUGACUUUGGGAUAACUUCAGGAAACUGGGGCUAAUACCGGAUAGGAGCUCCUGCUGCAUGGUGGGGGUUGGAAAGUUUCGGCGGUUGGGGAUGGACUCGCGGCUUAUCAGCUUGUUGGUGGGGUAGUGGCUUACCAAGGCUUUGACGGGUAGCCGGCCUGAGAGGGUGACCGGCCACAUUGGGACUGAGAUACGGCCCAGACUCCUACGGGAGGCAGCAGUGGGGAAUAUUGCGCAAUGGGCGGAAGCCGGAUGCAGCAACGCCGCGUGCGGGAUGACGGCCUUCGGGUUGUAAACCGCUUUCGCCUGUGACGAAGCGUGAGUGACGGUAAUGGGGAAAGAAGCACCGGCUAACUACGG